AUUCAGCUGACAAGUCCCACAUAGAACGAAACGCGCAUCCUGGAU
rnacentral:hammerhead_ribozyme from 1 species